UAAAUGUUAUAAUGUUUAUUUAAAUGCUGCGUGCCUUUUGACGUGUUCUAUGGUUUCAAUGGGCGUACGUGCGCGUAAACAUUGAGUCGCAAUUCAAAGACAGGAGCGCGCGUGAGCAGAUGGAAACCAUGGAAACGAGGAAACCUCAUCAACUGUCAAACAGCAAAACUAGCGUCUCUCACUGUUGUUUUCUCUGCUUUCAGAAGAUCAUCAUGCUGGUUGGCCUGCUGCACCCCCUGUCCAAGACAAUCUCAUUCUCCACGGCUAUGAACUCGACUAAUGAGAUGUCAAUCAUUUGACCCUGUGGUUCUUCAGGACAAGAUCUUGAUGCCAUCCACUGAACAUGACAUCGUACAUGACGAAGGUUUUCUGGAAUCCACAGCGGAAGGGAUCAAGGCAUGAGAUGUUGGCUUGGACAGAUGUACCUGUACACCACACCGACCUCUGCUUUUGGAUGGAUGGCUGAUUACUAUCAUGUUCUGUAUAAGUUUUAUAAUAGCAAAACUGAGCACCUUCGACAGUGGUAGAUGUAAAGUAGUCAGACAUCAGUACAUUUAAAGUCACAGAGAGAAAGUUUUUUAUAUAAGUAUAAAACAAUUUUUUGGCACCAUUAUACACCAAGAAAUGUGCAUAAUUGGCCAAAUUGAUAAUGUUUAUCAACAAAAAUAUGACCCUAUGAGUUUGCUAAUUUGUAGAAUAGGACACACACACACACACACACACUCUCUCUCUCUCUCU